rnacentral:rRNA from 1 species
AAGCCAUGGGGAGGGGCGAGCGCCCGUUGAUCCGUGGAUUUCCGAAUGGGGCAACCCCACCCGCAAGGGUGAUCGCCGACUGAAUACAUAGGUCGGCGAGGCGAACCCGGUGAACUGAAACAUCUCAGUAACCGGAGGAAAGGACAUCAACCGAGACUCCGUUAGUAGUGGCGAGCGAACGCGGACCAGGCCAGUGGCUUUUUAAGAAUAACCAGAACUGUUUGGAAAAGCAGGCAAUAAUAGGUGAUAGCCCCGUAUGGGUAAAAACUUAAAAAGUCCUUGAGUAAGGCGGGACACGUGAAAUCCUGUCUGAACAUGGGGGGACCACCCUCCAAGCCUAAGUACUCCCUAGUGACCGAUAGCGUACAAGUACCGUGAGGGAAAGGUGAAAAGAACCCCGACAAGGGGAGUGAAAUAGAAUCUGAAAUCGAAUGCCUACAAGCAGCGGGAGCUCCUUUAUGGAGUGACCGCGUACCUUUUGUAUAAUGGGUCAACGAGUUAAUCUCUGUAGCAAGCUUAAGCCGUUAGGUGUAGGCGUAGCGAAAGCGAGUCUGAAUAGGGCGAUGAGUUGCAGGGAUUAGACCCGAAACCGAGUGAUCUAGCUAUGGGCAGGUUGAAGGUGCAGUAACAUGCACUGGAGGACCGAACCCACUUCUGUUGCAAAAGCAGGGGAUGACCUGUGGCUAGGGGUGAAAGGCCAAUCAAACUCGGAAAUAGCUGGUUCUCCGCGAAAUCUAUUGAGGUAGAGCGUUGGGCGAUUACUCUCGGGGGUAGAGCACUGAAUGGGCUAGGGGGGAGCGAUCCUUACCAAACCCAAUCAAACUCCGAAUACCGAACAGUACAGCCCAGCAGACAGACUAUGGGUGCUAAGGUCCAUAGUCGAGAGGGAAACAGCCCUAAUCGCCAUCUAAGGUCCCCAAGUCAUGGCUAAGUGGGAAAGGAUGUGGGACGACCAAGACAGCCAGGAGGUUGGCUUAGAAGCAGCCAUCCUUUAAAGAAAGCGUAACAGCUCACUGGUCUAGAUAAGUUAUCCUGCGCCGAAAAUGUAACGGGGCUAAAGCCAUGCACCGAAGAUGCGAGUUUGGAUUGUGAUUACAAUCCAAGCGGUAGCGGAGCGUUCUGUAAGCCUGUGAAGGUCGACUCGUGAGAGCGGCUGGAGGUAUCAGAAGUGAGAAUGCUGACAUAAGUAACGUUAAAUAGAGUGAAAGACUCUAUCGCCGUAAAUCCAAGGGUUCCUACGCAAUGUUAAUCAACGUAGGGUUAGUCGGCCCCUAAGGCGAGGGCGAAAGCCGUAGUCGAUGGGAAUACAGUUAAUAUUCUGUAACCUGUGAGAGGUGACGAAGGUCGUAAGUUGUUGGUCCUGAUCGGAUUGGAACCAGCAGCGAAGAACUUCCAGGAAAUAACCCUCACGUAUAGACCGUACCCGAAACCGACACUGGUGGAUGAGUAGAAUAUACUAAGGCGCUUGAGAGAAUGGUGUUGAAGGAACUCGGCAAAUUGAUCCCGUAACUUCGGAAUAAGGGAUGCCUAGUCAAAGGCAACUUCAACUAGGUGGCACAGAAUCGGGGGUAGCGACUGUUUAACAAAAACACAGGACUAUGCAAAGUCGCAAGACGAAGUAUAUGGUCUGACGCCUGCCCGGUGCUGGAAGGUUAAGAGGAGGUGUGCAAGCACUGAAUUGAAGCCCCAGUAAACGGCGGCCGUAACUAUAACGGUCCUAAGGUAGCGAAAUUCCUUGUCGGGUAAGUUCCGACCUGCACGAAUGGCGUAACGACUUCCCCACUGUCUCCAACACCAACUCAGUGAAAUUGGAUUCUCCGUGAAGAUACGGAGUUCCCGCGGUCAGACGGAAAGACCCCGUGCACCUUUACUACAGCUUUGCAGUGGUAUUAGGAAUAAUAUGUGUAGGAUAGGUGGGAGCCUAUGAAAGCCGGGCGCCAGUUCGGUGGGAGGCAAUCUUGAAAUACCACCCUUAUUGUUCUUGAUAUCUAACUGAGGCCAGUUAUCCUGGUCCAGGACCCUGCAUGGUGGGUAGUUUGACUGGGGCGGUCGCCUCCGAAAGAGUAACGGAGGCGCGCAAUGGUAGGCUCAAGUUGGUCGGAAAUCAACUGUUGAGUGCAAUGGCAUAAGCCUGCCUGACUGUAAGACACACAUGUCGAACAGAGACGAAAGUCGGUCAUAGUGAUCCGGUGGUUCCUCAUGGAAGGGCCAUCGCUCAACGAAUAAAAGGUACGCCGGGGAUAACAGGCUGAUCUCCCCCAAGAGUCCACAUCGACGGGGAGGUUUGGCACCUCGAUGUCGGCUCAUCACAUCCUGGGGCUGAAGCAGGUCCCAAGGGUUCGGCUGUUCGCCGAUUAAAGUGGUACGUGAGCUGGGUUCAGAACGUCGUGAGACAGUUCGGUCCCUAUCUGCCGUGGGUGUUCGAUACUUGAGAGAACCUGUCCCUAGUACGAGAGGACCGGGAUGGACGUACCUCUGGUGUAUCGGUUGUAGCGCCAGCUGCAUCGCCGAGUAGCUACAGUACGGACGAGAUAACUGCUGAAAGCAUCUAAGCAGGAAACUCAUCUCAAAACUAGGUAUCGCCAUUAGAGCCGUGAUAGACCAUCACGUUGAUAGGGUGGAUGUGUAAGCUCAGUAAUGAGUUCAGCUAACCACUACUAAUAGCUCAAUUGGCUUGAUUUA